rnacentral:tRNA from 1 species
GGUUUAUGGCUCAGUGGUAGGGCGCUUGCCUAGCAUGUGUGAGGCAUUGAGUUUGAUUCUCAGCACCA